rnacentral:snRNA from 1 species
GCAUGCUUGUUUCAGCAGUGCAUAUACUAAAAUUGUAAUGAUACAGAGACAAUUAGCAUGGCCCCUGUACAAGGAUGACACAAAAAA